CCUGGUAGUCUUAGUAUGCUGGGUAGCUAAUCACUAAGAGCACCACGAUGAUGAGUAGCUUCAUCAUG
rnacentral:sRNA from 1 species